rnacentral:rRNA from 1 species
AUACAAAAAUGACUCUCGGCAACGGAUAUCUCGGCUCUCGCAUCGAUGAAGAACGUAGCGAAAUGCGAUACUUGGUGUGAAUUGCAGAAUCCCGUGAACCAUCGAGUCUUUGAACGCAAGUUGCGCCCAAAGCCAUUUGGCCGAGGGCACGUCUGCCUGGGUGUCACGC